UAUUGGUCAAUGGGCGGGAGCCUGAACCAGCCAAGUCGCGUGAGGGAUUAAGGCCCUACGCGUCGUAAACCUCUUUUGCCGGGGAGCAGGGCGGCGGACGUGUCCGCCGUUUGAGGGUACCCGGCGAAAAAGCAUCGGCUCACUCAGUGCCCUCAGCCGCGGUAAUACGGCGGAUGCGAGCGUUAUCCGGACUUAUUGGGUUUAAAGGGUGCGUAGGCGGGCUUUUAAGUCAGCGGUAAAAAUUCGGGGCUCAACCCCGUCCGGCCGUUGAAACUGGGGGCCUUGAGUGGGCGAGAAGAAGGCGGAAUGCGUGGUGUAGCGGUGAAAUGCAUAGAUAUCACGCAGAACCCCGAUUGCGAAGGCAGCCUUCCGGCGCCCUACUGACGCUGAGGCACGAAAGUGCGGGGAUCGAACAGG
rnacentral:rRNA from 1 species